rnacentral:rRNA from 1 species
CUUGGGUCAUUUAGAGGAAGUAAAAGUCGUAACAAGGUUUCCGUAGGUGAACCUGCGGAAGGAUCAUUAUCGAGUUUUGAACGGGUUGUCUGCUGGCUCGCAAGGGCAUGUGCACGCCUGUCUCAUCCACUCUCAACUUCUGUGCACUUUUCAUAGGCCGGCUUGUGGGUGCGUUCGCGCACUUGUAGGUGUCGGGCUUAUGCUUUACUACAAACGAUUCAGUUUUAGAAUGUCAUACUUUGCUAUAACGCAAUUUAUAUACAACUUUCAGCAACGGAUCUCUUGGCUCUCGCAUCGAUGAAGAACGCAGCGAAAUGCGAUAAGUAAUGUGAAUUGCAGAAUUCAGUGAAUCAUCGAAUCUUUGAACGCACCUUGCGCUCCUUGGUAUUCCGAGGAGCAUGCCUGUUUGAGUCUCAUGGAAUUCUCAACCUUCGGCUUCAUUGACGAAGGCUUGGACUUGGAGGUCGUGCCGGCUCUCGUAGUCGGCUCCUCUGAAAUGCAUUAGUGCGAACGUUACCAGCCGCUUCAGCGUGAUAAUUAUCUGCGUUGCUGCGGAGGGUAUUCUAGUGUUCACGCUUCUAACCGUCUUCGGACAAAUUUCUGAACUCUGAGCUCAAAUCAGGUAGGACUACCCGCUGAACUUAAGCAUAUCAAUAAGCGGAGGA